GACACGCGUGUCUCCUUCUGUUCUGGGGACAAGUUAAGUGGGAUUUUUGAGGAGCUUUGUCUUUCCUUAUUUUCUAUGUUAUUCUUCUUCUUCAUUUUUUUUUGUUUUACUAAUAUUACUACAUUUCAAAAUUUUAAAGAUAUAAUAAACGAAACUUUUUUUCUAUAGUAGUUGUAGAUUUUAUAGGGAAUUUCGACUUCUCUUUUCAAACACAUCAUUACUAUAUAUUUUUGGUUAAGAUGAGAAACUUACU